AGUCGGUCCUUUAUCGCCGAGGCUACACACGUGCUACAAUGGCCAGUACAAAGGGCUGCGAACCCGCGAGGGUAAGCAAAUCCCAAAAACCUGGUCUCAGUUCGGAUUGGAGUCUGCAACUCGACUCCAUGAAGUCGGAAUCGCUAGUAAUCGCAGAUCAGCGUGCUGCGGUGAAUACGUUCCCGGGCCUU
rnacentral:rRNA from 1 species